rnacentral:rRNA from 1 species
CCUACGGGUGGCAGCAGUGAGGAAUAUUGGUCAAUGGACGAGCGUCUGAACCAGCCAAGUAGCGUGAAGGAUGACUGCCCUAUGGGUUGUAAACUUCUUUUAUAUGGGAAUAAAAUGUUCCACGUGUGGGAUUUUGUAUGUACCAUAUGAAUAAGGCUCGGCUAACUCCGUGCCAGCAGCCGCGGUAAUACGGAGGAUCCGAGCGUUAUCCGGAUUUAUUGGGUUUAAAGGGAGCGUAGGUGGAUUGUUAAGUCAGUUGUGAAAGUUUGCGGCUCAACCGUAAAAUUGCAGUUGAAACUGGCAGUCUUGAGUACAGUAGAGGUGGGCGGAAUUCGUGGUGUAGCGGUGAAAUGCUUAGAUAUCACGAAGAACUCCGAUUGCGAAGGCAGUUCACUGGACUGCAACUGACACUGAGGCUCGAAAGUGUGGGUAUCAAACAGGAUUAGAUACCCCAGUAGUC